GUCGUCAUUUGUCGGAGGAAUGUAUUUCUGCACCGAGGAGUGACAAGGUUGGCAUCUCUAAAGCUGAAUACAUGGAUGGUGCUGUCCAAAAAUUACUGCUGGAUAUUUUGUUCCAGCAGUAACAGAGGGGGUACCACAGCCAGAAUUCAUAUAGACAUGGAGACAGAGAAUGGUACAAUGAAAGACAUUCAAAGAUUUUUGCGUCUUCAUGACAGCUAUCCUGAAAACUACUUCAUUGUGGGAUCCAGCACCCACAGCCAGCACAUCGACAGCUGGUGGGCUUUCUUAAGGAAACGUCGUGCACAGUACUGGAUGAACCUUUUUCAAAAACUGAAGAAUACAUAUUACUUUACUGGUGACUUCUUGGAUAAGCAGCCAAUUCUGCUCACCUGUUUAAAUAUCACUGAAGAACAACUCUAAAAAGUGGUUCACUUAUGGAACAUCAUUUGUAAGAUUAGAGAUGCAAUUGCUCCAAGUGACCGGCCCUACAUUAUGUAUACCUGGGGUGUCAAGCUCCAAUCCUCAAGGGCGUGUCCUGAAACUUUUAGAGGUUUCCUUGGUCCCACACACCUGAAUCAAAUGACACAAUUAGCUCCUCAGUAUGCAGUCAGGUUCUUCAGAGUCCUG